GCUCCGGUAACCUAGUGGUUAUAGAGCGUCCGCCUCGGAUGCGGAAGGUAUUGGGUUCUAUCCCUGAUCGAGUCA